rnacentral:rRNA from 1 species
CUCAGGAUGAACGCUAGCUACAGGCUUAACACAUGCAAGUCGAGGGGAAACGACAUUGGAAGCUUGCUUCCGGUGGGCGUCGACCGGCGCACGGGUGAGUAACGCGUAUCCAACCUGCCCACCACUUGGGAAUAACCUUGCGAAAGUAAGACUAAUGCCCAAUGACAUUGAGUGCAGACAUCUAAUCUCAAUUAAAGAUUCAUCGGUGAUGGAUGGGGAUGCGUCCGAUUAGCUUGUUGGCGGGGUAACGGCCCACCAAGGCGACGAUCGGUAGGGGUUCUGAGAGGAAGGUCCCCCACAUUGGAACUGAGACACGGUCCAAACUCCUACGGGAGGCAGCAGUGAGGAAUAUUGGUCAAUGGGCGAGAGCCUGAACCAGCCAAGUAGCGUGCAGGAUGACGGCCCUAUGGGUUGUAAACUGCUUUUAUAAGGGAAUAAAGUGAGAGUCGUGACUCUUUUUGCAUGUACCUUAUGAAUAAGGACCGGCUAAUUCCGUGCCAGCAGCCGCGGUAAUACGGAAGGUCCGGGCGUUAUCCGGAUUUAUUGGGUUUAAAGGGAGCGUAGGCCGCAGGUUAAGCGUGUUGUGAAAUGUAGGGGCUCAACCUCUGCACUGCAGCGCGAACUGGCUUGCUUGAGUACGCACAACGUGGGCGGAAUUCGUGGUGUAGCGGUGAAAUGCUUAGAUAUCACGAAGAACUCCGAUUGCGAAGGCAGCUCACGGGAGCGCAACUGACGCUGAAGCUCGAAAGUGCGGGUAUCGAACAGGAUUAGAUACCCUGGUAGUCCGCACGGUAAACGAUGGAUGCCCGCUGUUGGUCUGAAUAGGUCAGCGGCCAAGCGAAAGCAUUAAGCAUCCCACCUGGGGAGUACGCCGGCAACGGUGAAACUCAAAGGAAUUGAC